rnacentral:lncRNA from 1 species
UAUUUUGAAAGGGUAGUGAAUGGGAGAAGGAUCGAGAAUCGUGUGCUUGCAUCACCAUUUCAAGUUCCAACCAGUCGGAUUUAAAAUUCAACAUGACAUUUUCGUUGUUUCUUACCACAGCCAGCAGUGAAUCUGUCAACGACAAGCAACGAUCGGCUCUUGUCCUCGUUAUUCUCGAUUGUUCUAUCGUUUUUCCUCUGUUAAGAAAUGUUUGAUGUAAUUUCAAUCGGAAUUUGAAUUGACGCUUAUCAAAAGUCGCUUAGCCAAAAAAAGAUUAUCGAAUCCCCGAUGGUUGCUUCUCUUAGAUGUGGCAGGCCGAUGUGUAACAUGGAUUGCCAACAAUCAGGGCAGGCCAUCGUCGUCAGACGUUGGAUAAAUACUUUGGUAGUUUACUUAAUCAAAUUUAUGGGUGAUUUUAUUUACCAUGGGGCCUGUUAGAUCGUUGGACCAUACGAAAUGGACAAUUUUUGGCGGAAAUUUGAUCUCGCGGAAUUAACAACCCUCACCGUCUUUUUGGAUCAGAUUCAGGUGAAAGUUCACGAUCACGCUCGAAAUGAUCAAAUCAAAAUCAUUAAAGAUUUAACGAUGAAAUCAAAAGCCGACAAGCUGGAAGAACUCUCGACGUUAAAUUUUUUUGUAUUUAAAAAACUCGCUCGUUAUUUGAUUUUAACCAAAUUGUUUAGAAUCAGAAGCUUGGUGUAUCUGGCUGCUUGGCUGGUGAAUUCCAAUUAUGGUCCAGGCACCUGGCGUCGUGAAAGUGACAACUGGACCGCUGACGUCAUCCCAUCAGUUUUAUAGCGGCACAUUUAAAUUUUAACACGUAUAGCAAAAUGAUGUCGACAACUGAGAGGAGAAUUCUUUACUUAUUGUGAAUACAGGUGGUUGCGUCCGUCACUUAUUUGCCAAAAGUGUCGUCCGACCUGAAGUCGGUGAUUGACAAAAUCGCAACUUUGGCUUGUUGCAAAACUUUGGCUGGGCUAUAAUUCCCUGUCCCAAAAUAAUUGCAUCUUGGCCCGCGUAUCUGUCUGGACUCGGGGUCUGGUAGAAGCACUGGAAAAACUUAACCUUACAACAAAAGAAAAAAGGGAGUUGAAAAGCAAAACAAGAUCCUCGCUUUUGGCCAGGGCAUGCCUCGCAUAUUGCUUCCCAAUCGACAUUCUAGCAAAAUCUGUGGUGAAAGGGGGCAACCAACAAAAAUCAAAAAAUGACAGCAAAUUAGACGAAGAAAAAGUGGAUGCCAUAUGUGAAUUCGUUCAGUGUAGAUUCCCAGAUUCAGAUAGGAAGACAAUCAUCAGUAUUUUCGGAUUGAAGAUAAGAGAUCUGAAACGAAAAGCUAGUUCUGAUGAUAAAGAUAGUGUGUCAGAUCCAGAAUCUGUGGGCGAAGGCAACCGAUGAUUAAACUUGCAAAUGUUGGCAAGACUAUCACAUGCCCAGUCUGAGAAAAAUAAUGUAUUGAUACGUCGUCGCUUUCUUCAAUAAAAUAAAGUAAAAAGUUUGUAAAAUUCUUUUGAAAAGCAAAAAAUCAGGCUAUAGUAAUUAUUUCAAUAUGAGAUAUAAUCGCUAGUCAAGAUAACGCUAUUUAAAUGUUAUAUGAGCAUUAAGUAUAUAUUUUGUAGAUGUCAUUCCAAUGUCAUGUAUGAAUCGAACAAUUAUCAUAUGAACAUCAGUAAUAAUCAAAUAAAUAUCUUGGAAUAAUCACCCAAUAACAAGGGUCAAAAUCUUAUAAUUAUCACCGUCAGUAUUGAAACAGCAACUUAUCUUAACUGAUUAAAUUCAUAUUAUUUUAAUCA